rnacentral:misc_RNA from 1 species
CCUCAAGCUUUGCUUGGUGUUGGGCGUCUUGUCUUUUGGCUCUUUGCCCAAAGACUCGCCUUAAAACGAUUGGCAGCCGGCUACUGGUUUCGCAGCGCAGCACAUUUUUGCGCUUGCAAUCAGCAAAAGAGGACGGCACUCCAUCAAGACUCCUUCUCACGUUUGACCUCGGAUCAGGUAGGGAUACCCGCUGAACUUAA